rnacentral:lncRNA from 1 species
CUGCAAUGCUUGAUCCGGAUGGCUUAUCCUUACGCCACCGAAGUAACAGAAUGUCAAGCUGUAUUGAACACCACCAGUUCAUCCAAGGACUGCUAGCCGCUCUGAUCAAAGACUUGAGAAGCCAUCUGGGGAGAUCACCAGGUGACAGCAUUCUUCCUGCACUUGUUUCCCGAUGGACCUCGAGGGUAUUCCUUCACACGCACACUGAUAUGU